GUGCAUAUAUUCAUUAUAUUUUCCUCUUUUAGCCUUUCAGGUCUCCUUGCGUGUGGAAGAAGUUUCUAAUUUCGGAAAAGUACUUUUUCAGGCUUCUUGGGUGGAUGUGUGUUUUCUCUAGUAGUGGCUCUAUUCGCCAUCAUACGCACCCGGAACAUUCUGCAAGAACAAGGCCAAAAACAGUACAUGGACAUUAUGUUCCCUCUUUACAGGUAAAACCUAAUUUAAUUUGCUUACUAUGUUUAUACUAACGAUUUGCUUCUCUCUUACACUUUCUUUCUUCUUGUUCUUGCAGCUUGUUUGGGUUCAUUGUGCUGCACAUACUUAUGUAUGCUGGAAACAUUUACUAUU
rnacentral:lncRNA from 1 species